rnacentral:tRNA from 1 species
GUGGCUCAGUGGUUAAGAGCACUGGUUGAUCCUCCAGAUGGUAUGGGUUCAAUUCCUAUAAGCCACA